AUUGAACGCUGGCGGCAUGCUUUACACAUGCAAGUCGAACGGCAGCAUGGGUGCUUGCACCUGAUGGCGAGUGGCGAACGGGUGAGUAAUGCAUCGGAACGUACCCGGAAGUGGGGAUAACGUAGCGAAAGUUACGCUAAUACCGCAUAUUCUGUGAGCAGGAAAGCGGGGGAGUCGCAAGACCUCGCGCUUCCGGAGCGGCCGAUGUCGGAUUAGCUAGUUGGCGGGGUAAAGGCCCACCAAGGCAACGAUCCGUAGCGGGUCUGAGAGGAUGAUCCGCCACACUGGGACUGAGACACGGCCCAGACUCCUACGGGAGGCAGCAGUGGGGAAUCUUGCGCAAUGGGGGCAACCCUGACGCAGCCAUGCCGCGUGAAUGAUGAAGGCCUUAGGGUUGUAAAGUUCUUUUGCCCGUGACGAUGAUGACGGUAACGGGAGAAUAAGCUCCGGCUAACUUCGUGCCAGCAGCCGCGGUAAUGCACGA
rnacentral:rRNA from 1 species